GAUGAACGCUGGCGGCGUGCCUAAUACAUGCAAGUCGAGCGAACGGACGAGAAGCUUGCUUCUCUGAUGUUAGCGGCGGACGGGUGAGUAACACGUGGAUAACCUACCUAUAAGACUGGGAUAACUUCGGGAAACCGGAGCUAAUACCGGAUAAUAUUUUGAACCGCAUGGUUCAAAAGUGAAAGACGGUCUUGCUGUCACUUAUAGAUGGAUCCGCGCUGCAUUAGCUAGUUGGUAAGGUAACGGCUUACCAAGGCAACGAUGCAUAGCCGACCUGAGAGGGUGAUCGGCCACACUGGAACUGAGACACGGUCCAGACUCCUACGGGAGGCAGCAGUAGGGAAUCUUCCGCAAUGGGCGAAAGCCUGACGGAGCAACGCCGCGUGAGUGAUGAAGGUCUUCGGAUCGUAAAACUCUGUUAUUAGGGAAGAACAUAUGUGUAAGUAACUGUGCACAUCUUGACGGUACCUAAUCAGAAAGCCACGGCUAACUACGUGCCAGCAGCCGCGGUAAUACGUAGGUGGCAAGCGUUAUCCGGAAUUAUUGGGCGUAAAGCGCGCGUAGGCGGUUUUUUAAGUCUGAUGUGAAAGCCCACGGCUCAACUGUGGAGGGUCAUUGGAAACUGGAAAACUUGAGUGCAGAAGAGGAAAGUGGAAUUCCAUGUGUAGCGGUGAAAUGCGCAGAGAUAUGGAGGAACACCAGUGGCGAAGGCGACUUUCUGGUCUGUAACUGACGCUGAUGUGCGAAAGCGUGGGGAUCAAACAGGAUUAGAUACCCUGGUAGUCCACGCCGUAAACGAUGAGUGCUAAGUGUUAGGGGGUUUCCUUCCCUUAGUGCUGCAGCUAACGCAUUAAGCACUCCGCCUGGGGAGUACGACCGCAAGGUUGAAACUCAAAGGAAUUGACGGGGACCCGCACAAGCGGUGGAGCAUGUGGUUUAAUUCGAAGCAACGCGAAGAACCUUACCAAAUCUUGACAUCCUUUGACAACUCUAGAGAUAGAGCCUUCCCCUUCGGGGGACAAAGUGACAGGUGGUGCAUGGUUGUCGUCAGCUCGUGUCGUGAGAUGUUGGGUUAAGUCCCGCAACGAGCGCAACCCUUAAGCUUAGUUGCCAUCAUUAAGUUGGGCACUCUAAGUUGACUGCCGGUGACAAACCGGAGGAAGGUGGGGAUGACGUCAAAUCAUCAUGCCCCUUAUGAUUUGGGCUACACACGUGCUACAAUGGACAAUACAAAGGGCAGCGAAACCGCGAGGUCAAGCAAAUCCCAUAAAGUUGUUCUCAGUUCGGAUUGUAGUCUGCAACUCGACUACAUGAAGCUGGAAUCGCUAGUAAUCGUAGAUCAGCAUGCUACGGUGAAUACGUUCCCGGGUCU
rnacentral:rRNA from 1 species